ensembl:snRNA U6 U6 spliceosomal RNA
GCUUAGGAAACCUGUGCAUAGACUAAAAUUAGAACAAUACAGAGAAGAUUAGCAUGGCCCCUGCACAUGGAUGAUGUGAAAAUUCAUGAAGUGGUCCAUAUUAAA